AAUAUAUAUAUAUAUAUAUAACAUAUUGCUCACUCGGGCUUUUAAUAGACUCAUCUUCUUCCACUUGAGAUUUCCCUGAAGCUACUUGGUACGCUGUUUGUAGACAAGAGCUAAUAAGGAUUAUUAGUGAUUAUGGCGAGUGGUUAUCAGGUACUAAUAUUUAGUAAACACUUAAAGGAAUUGGGUGCAAAAAAACAUGUGUAUAUAUAUAUAUAUAUAUAUAUAUAUAUAUAUAUAUAUAUAUAUAUAUA